GGCUGAGUUGGGCGGGCUGCGGAAGUCUGGGGCUCGGGCUUCACCCCGCGGCUGGAAGAGAGGGGAAGGGUACUGUGUCUGUGCAGCAUCAGCUUGGAAGUCAAAAGGGAAGUGAUAUGUGUGUCUUGUGAUAGGCUGGCCAUGGACCAAGAGGAAGGAGAGCUAAAAUGAGAAGCCAUAAGAAUUUCGGUCCACUUCACCUCGAGGGGGUCCCACGUGGCUGUCGCAGCCCCACGAAGCUGGAG